AGUCAGAAAUGAUGCCGAUGCCGAGAAUGUUAGUUAACGUAGCUAAGCUAUGAUUUGUCAAAAACAGCUAACAUUAGCCUAGCUUACGUCAGCUUGAACCAGUAUUUUUAUAUUUUUAUAUAUAUAUACAAAUCUAUUGAUUAACCAAUCUCCACAGUAAACUACGAACGUAACGCAAACGCUGUAGUUAAUCUAGUGUUUUUACGAACCUGGAAAAAUGACGUUAAUUUUGUAGAAGCGCUUCGCCCGUAGCUAGAACCUAACGUUAGGAGCUAACAGUGCUAGCUGAUAGCUACAUGUUAGCAUGGUAGUCGAUUAGAAGUACUGUCAAAAGAUCCUCUAUAAACCGUCUCUGGUGUCGUUACUGUCUUACGACCGAUAACGUUAGCUAACUCCAUGAACUAGGUAACGUUAGCAUUUAACGUUUAAUUUCGGUGACAACCAUGCAAGUGACCGGUUGGCCAUUUUAUCAUUGGGCAAAACACGUUUAAUGCAACGUAUCAAACGUUAGUGCUUCGGGAAUGUAAAAGGGUUGUGGCAUUAGGCGGUGUAACAGUUGGCUAGUUAACUUACCAACAUACAUUAACUAAUAUGUUUAAAAACCAUACAGUCCCUACAUAAGUAAAAUAGUUUAUCAGAGUUUGGUGUUAGGUAAGUAAUUGUGGGCAUAUUUAUUUUGAAACUUUUUUUAUAUUGCACCUUAAAAGACUGUUUCAAAAGUGCUUUGACAGACAAAGCAAGGCAAAAGUACGAUAUCCAGGUCAAUAUAACAACAGAGAGCUAAACAGUGGGGCCAAAUAAUAGCAAGACACAAUUUGGAUAAAAACAAGAAGGCAAAAGACUCAGACAUAGUAGAGAAAACAAAAUAAAAAGGGUAAAAGCAAUAAAAUCAAUAAGUAAAAUAAAGACACACAUAUAUAUUAUUUAUUUAUUUUUUAAAGAGACAUCACAUGAAAGUCUAUAAAAAUAGGUUUUAAGAAGGGAUUUAAAAGAGUUCACUGAUUAUGCUUAUCUCUCAAAGCAGGUUCUUCCAAAGUCGAGAGGCCCUGAUGGCAAAAGCACGGUCACCUCGACUUUAGAACGGCCAGAAGGGCCCCACCUGAGGCUUUAGGUGGCUGGCUCAUAUCGGUCAACAUCUCCACUAUAUAUAGCUUAGAGCCAGACCCAGAAGAGCUACUGAAAUCCCAGACAAAUAUAUUGUGUUGAACAUGAGAAGAACAACAUUAAGCCAUAGCUGAAGCAAAACAAUACUACUCAGGCUGCAUUUUCUGAAGUCAGUAUCAAACUGACUUUUUUUUCUUCUUUUUUCUUCAACUUAUUAGCAAGCUGCGUUAAUAUAACUAAAUAAAUCCCCCCAUAUGUCCCAAUU